GGGUCAAUGAUGAGAACUCAUAUGAUCUCAAAGAGACAUGAUGACCUAAAAAGCAUGCUCAAUAGAAAUGUGCUGAGGUGC
ensembl:snoRNA SNORD115 Small nucleolar RNA SNORD115